GCCGGCUUGGCUCAGUGGAUAGAGCAUCAGCCUGCAGACUGAAGGCUCCCAGGUUCGAUUCCGGCCAACGGCA
rnacentral:tRNA from 1 species